ACUAGAGAUUCUCUUCACAAGUGUCAAGCUGAUGAAAGUGAUGAUGAGGACGAAGACAUCGAUCCCGUCUUUUACAGGGAUGAGGAUGAAUAUGGAUAAACUAGCGAUGAUACUGAUGUUGAGUAGAAGCUCUAAAUCUUAAGAGUGUGAAACUUGCUCAUGAUGGAGAUGCUCGCUUGGGGCAACUCACUGGUCAAGUUGCAGCUGCCCCAGGAGAAAUUCAGACAUAUGCUGCCGAUUUCGUGCCCUCCAAAAAUUUCUUAUCCCGACCACAUGUGCUGGUCCCAGGCAAUCACCAUGACGACAGAGACCACCAUAGACUAGCCGUCGUGGUAGUGUUUAUUGCCUUACUGUGGAUUAUGGCAUCUCUAUUUAUACUUUCCUGAAAAUUAUUUCUUCCAUUAUUCGAUCAUAUCAUCCGUCUAUCAGACACUCGAUUGAUUGUUUAUCUCUAUCUGUCCUUGUCUCCGGUGUUUUCUCAUACAAGGAAUAUGAUAUAAAAAAUCUGCAGGACUUCUUGUUC